GCUGCUGCUGCUGGGGUGGGGAGUUGUUGGGUGCUGGAGAAAACAGAACAGAGGAUUUGAUCAGUUCUGUUUUCCUGCAACCUUUCAGGAGUUACAGGUCUAUUGCAGGGUGGAGACCUUGCAAUCUGCAGUGAAUCCUGCGAACUAAAUGCCACCUCCUCUCCAUGCUGAUUUAAAUCCCACUCACCCUGAAAGUCCUCUCUUGGUGUCUCCUACGUAUACUGUCAUUCCCCUUUUGUGAAUCCCAUGGCGUGUGUCAACAGACCAACACUCUGGAAUGCUGUGAUCUAUGGUGUCAUUCCAGGAGGACUUCCUGUGCUACCAUGACCACUCUCCACAGACGGCAAGCCAUCUGGGACAAAAAUGUCCCUAGCUUUUGCUUUUCUCCCCCACUCUGCACCCUGGCAUGGACUAGUAGAGGAAACUGCUGUAUAGACAACAGGAAAACUGAUGUAGGCAGCUGAAGAGUUGAGAAGGAGAAGAUCUCUUAUGCUUUUGGUUGUGAGCCUCGCCUUUGAGUGUGCACCAUCUACCCCGCCCAAGGACAUAUCGCUGCCUCUCAAGCAGUGCCAAAGUAGAGGGUGAAGAGAGACAUCUAGAAAACUCCAGAUGAGUGAAUGAAUGAAUGAAUGAAUGAAUGAAAGUUUAAAUAAUUCACCAAUGAACUAAAGGUGACAUUUAUGAGCAAGGUGAGUCCACACUCAAAUUCUAAAUUAGGGACAAGGUAAGAGUGGACAAGGCACUGCUUUGUUAAUUUGCUUCUGUUGAAAUGCCUGUCGCCAUCUACAAAGCCUCUGCAAUUGCCGAGAGGGCCCCGGAGCUUUAGAGUCGGGGACUGUGGGCAUCACCUGAGCCAAACUAAGCUCCUGUCAAAGAAGAGGUGACAUUUGUAGGGGAAGAUCGCUUGUCCACAUCUGCAGGCUGGGUCCUAGUCAGAAGCCUCCCCAUGCGUCUGUCAAACGAUCUUCUGUCCAAGGACUAAGCUUUCAAAUCUAUUGAUUGAAAAAAAAGUCACCAUUUUCUUUCUCUGAAAAGUGUGGACUUUCAGUGUGAAAUCAGAAAGAUAUGGAAGUACAUGGAGAAAUAAAAAAAUGAUGUAAGCUACCAGCCACCCAGGAACACCGGCUGAGGAUAUGGGAUGUGUUUGUUCUCAAGGUGUUUCCUGUGUGUACCUAUCAGGGAGGCUGCGCUCAGCCCUGGCUCAGGCACAGAAAAGGCAUUCAGUUCCUGCCUGUUAAAUAAGUAUAUCCAACAUGCAAGUGGCUAUUUACAUAUGUUACAUAUGCAAAUGACAAUGUUAUUUCAUUUUAAUUUGGGGGGUAGUGUGAAGAAUAAUUUAUUAACAAUGACUCUCCCCCUUUGUCUUCAAGUCACCAGGACAUGCUCCCCUCACCACCAGGACCCUCUGGGGAUACCCUGAAGUCUUUUCAGCCCUUUUUUGAAGAAUUUGACCUUCACCGUGACAGUCUGCUUAGAAAACUUUCCUUUUCUAGAACUUUGCAAUAUCCUCAGAAGACAAAAGGGUUUACAACCUACUUCGGAUAACUCCACAGUGGGUGUGGGUGUGAGAAAAGAGGCCAGCUAAUCCAUGAAGUAUAGUGUCCAUGCAGGGAAUGCUUCUGAUGCAGCCACUACCCAGCCCCAGAGAAUCAAGAGGCAUAGUUUCCCUCUAAGAAUACCAGCACAGCAGCACAAGUGUAGUCAGGAGGUUAAAGUUGUUUUUAAUUAGAAGGCACACCAUUAUAGCUUCCUUAAUAUUUUUUUUCUACUUAAUGUUGUCUCUGUUUUCCCAUGUCACCAAAUACCAUCCUAAAACAUAAUAUUCAAUAGCUAUCCGUGGUAUGACUAGACCAUAGUUUAUUUACACAACUCCAGUGUAUGCUAGUUUUAAAAUGACUGUGAGUUAAAAACAAUGCUAUGCUAAUUGCUUGGACAUAACUUUCAGUGAGAAUCAACCUGUGUAUAAAUUGGGCUUUUGCCGGGCGGUGGUGGCGCACACCUGUAAUCCCAGCACUCUGGGAGGCAGAGGCAGGCAGAUUUCUGAGUUCGAGGCCAGCCUGGUCUGCAAAGUGAGUUCCAGGACAGCCAAAGCUAAACAGAGAAACUCUGUCUCAACAAAACCAAAUCCAAAAAUAAAUAAAUAAAUAAAUAAAUAAAUAAAAUAAAUUGGGCCUUUAUAUUCAGUAGGAGGAAAGUUGGAAUUAAAACAGCAGAGCCCAUCAUCUAGGGUCACAGCGAGAGUGACACUCAGCUGGGAAUCAGACACAGACUCAACUCUUGUACAAAUCAUGAGCCUCAGUCAAACCCAUCCACCUCUGUACUGCAGGCCUCUCCAGUGAGUUCUUUGUCUCAGUGACUUCUUACAUGAAAACUAAUCGUGCUAUCGGAGGCAGAUAAGGAAUUCAGACACAAAGGGCGCUCCAGGAUGGAUUUCAUAAGCCUCCCUCACUAGCCAAAGAGUCUUUCCCUUCUCUCCUUGGAAAAGUUCAAUGCACCUCUUCCACCAGGGCGAGGAGUUAAAUUCCAGGAAAAUGCAACCCAAGUACAAUAUAAGCUUCUUAAAUGCUGGGUCUUGACACCCACUGAAUUUGGUGGGAGGGGCCACGGAGAAAGCUUUUUGAAUUCGUUAAUAACCAAAAAUUAAUUCAGAAUUCCUCUGUGUUAAUCUGGAACUCACUGGAAAUCACGCGCGCGCGUGCGCACGCGCACGCG